ensembl:lncRNA
GAGCUGUGUCUGUGACCCACACCACAGCUCACAGCAACACUGGAUCCUUAACCCACUGAGAGAGGCCAGGGAUCAAACCCGCCACUGCGCCGUAACAGGAACUCCGGAAACCUGGUUUUUCAAGUAUGGAUUGAUGGGACACUGAUUUCUCUCUCUAGUUUAAUGGGGAAAUGGGAGAUAAACACUAAUGGGGGUGUUUGAGCUUCUUGUUUUAUUUUAUUUUUCAAAGCCGGCCUCAGAGACUCUUCAGCUCCGUGUCAACCCAGGCCCCUUCCUUCAAAGAGCCAGGGGACCAUCCUUGCUGCAGUGUAGACAGUCAGGACGCGUCCUCACCACCAGGCAGCCCAGUGGGGACGUGGUUGGAGGUGCGGCAGCAGGGCUGCCAGGUGAGAUUUGCACAGCCUGAUGCCGCGCCUGCCUGGGCAUUGAGUGGAGGAGGUUGAACAAACAGCUGCAGGCGGAUCGCUGUCCAUGACUUUGGAAAACAGAGGAAGGAAGAAUGUAUGGUCUCAGUCCUCAGAGCAGAGCAAGAGGAGAAGAAUGCAGGGUGGAGGUUCUUGAGUGGCCUGGCUGGAGGAAGAGAGGGAGAUGGAGAAGCUCCUAGAACUGCCCCACCAGGUGAAAGGGAGGGUUUUUCUAGUUCUUUUUUUUUUUUGGUCUUUUUUCUAGGGCAACAUGCAACAUAUGGAAGUUCUUCUCAGGCUAGGGGUUGAAUUGGAGCUGUAGCUGCCAGCCUACACCACAGCUACAGCAACGCCAGUUCUGAGCCAUGUCUGCGACUUACACCACAGCUCACAGUAAUGCUGGAUCCUUAACCCACGGAGCAAGGCCAGGAAUCAAACCCACAUCCUCAUGGGUAAUUGUUGGUUCGUUACUGCUGAGCCAUGAUAGGAACUCCUUAGUUCCUUUUGACUCUGAUUUGAUUCUCUCUCGGCAGCUUUCUUCAGCCAACUUCCUUCUCUCUGAGCCUUCCCGGCAGGCAUCGCUGAGAGCAAGGGCAUCUGCAGUGAGUCCGGUUGUUCCUUUCCCACUCUGGAAAUCUUGGGGUACAUUCUACGCACCUGCUGGCAACCAACCCAUGACGUUCCCAUACCAGCCAGCUGCUGCCUCAGCUCUCCUGCCCAGCAUGGCAGCUCCUUACUGGGACUGGCCAUCCCUCCCUAGACCCCAGCUGGCUUGUCUGGGGCCUGGUCACCACACCUAUGUCCCUUCCUGUGGUCAGCCUCCUGCUCUGAAAGAACUCCUUAGCUCAAAAUAUAUGCCCCCAUCAGCUUCAUUUCCAGUGUCACCAGCUGGCCCUCCUUCCCCCAGAACUCCUUGGGUACUGACGGUUACCUGAACUACUUCUGAAUCCAACAAGCAUGCUGGACACCAUGCCCUGGGCUCCCUGGCUCCUGCUCAAAACAGGGAGGGUCCCCCCAGCACUGGUUCAAAGUUCUUUUCUAGUCCUCCAUCUCCUACUAGGCUGGCCUCAUACCUGACAUGAUCCCUGAUGCAGUACCUGCCUCUUGGGAGAGAAAGAAAGGCCGUGUCAAGCAGGCCUUGUGCGGGGUCCUGCUCUGGCAGGAAAGUGCAGAUCUGUCACCGUCCGAGGGCUCACUGCAAUGGGACAGUAGGAGGCAGUGAAAUAAGGUGGAAGUUGGAGGGACAUCCCUGAGAUCCAAUUCCUAUUCUCUCUCUCUCUCUUUUUUUUUGCUUUUUAGGGUCACACCCACAGCAUAUGGAGAUUCCCAGGCUAGGGGUCAAAUCAGAGCUAUAGCUGCUGGCCUACAGGGCACAGCCACAGCAACACCAGAUCCAAGCCGUGUCUGCGACCUGCACCUCAGCUCACGGCAACCCUGGAUCCUGAACCUACUGAGCACGUCCAGGGAUCCAACCUGCAUCCUUAUGGAUACUAGUCAGAUUCGUUUCCACUGCACCACGACGGGAGCUCCCCCUAUUCUUACAUUGAUUAUUGCACCCUCUGAGCCUUACUAAAUAGGCUUAAUGAGAACAUGUACCUCACUUCCACUCAGCAAAUAUUUGCGUAUAUGCUAUGAGCCAGGCCCUACUCCAGCUAUGAGUGAUUGUGGUAAACACCACUCGGGGCCCCGCCUCUUCAAGUGCUCUAGAUCCUAGUGUAACUGGAAGGUUGCACACCACGAAGCAUGUAACAUAUUGCAGCAGACAUCUGUUGUCUUUCACGUGCGUGGCUCACGUCCUUCCUUUUUCUGGGCAGUAGUACCCUUCCCCAAGUCCCCUUAGAUACCAAUCUCCACCCCUCCCUAUUACAUCCCUUAACUUGCCAGUGCCAGUCCCCUACCCCUGAGGUUGCCGACGGGGUCUUUGACGUCACAUGGCGGGUCCUCCAGGGUAAACACGUGAUCCACGUGAGACUCACCAGCGUCCUUCCCUGGGCGUUUCUCUCCUGAACCUGGGACCCAGAGCCUGUCCUCUAUACCCCGUGAUUGCCAGCUCCAAGGCCAAGACCUCCAGCACUGUCAGGGGCCCUGUCUCUCCACCCGGAGGAGCCUAGGGGGAUUGGCCCCAACCUGGACAGGGGAGAAAGGGCAGGCACAGCCCUGGGCCCAACCACCCUGGGGGCUGCCCUCUCUCCUGCUCCCUCCCUCCUUCAAGGUUUGGUUGAAGAACCCGUGAGUUUCCUUUUUUAGGUCUCAGCUAUUUUGAAUUGGUAAGUAUGUCACUUAUAACUAAAAGGCUUCUGAUGAGUACAGACAUUAAAACAGAGGUUUCACAUAAUAAGUAUUCAAGAAAAGUAGUUAUUCUCCCCUAGAAAGGGAGAACAGGAAAAGGAAACGGUGGAAUGGAAAAAUAGGAAAGAAUUGGAAAGAGGGAGCUUUGGAGAUUUCCAGGUAACAAGCUUUGCCUGGCUCGCAUUCCUUAUUGUGUCUUUGGUUAUAUUGGACUGAGGAAUCAGGACCCCAUAGACUCACUCGUUUUUGUGGAUCUGUAGGCAUUAAAUGCCUAUCUAUCUAUCUAUCUAUCUAUCUAUCUAUCUAUCUAUCUAUCUAUCAUCUAUCUAUCCAUCUAUCAUCUUUCUAGCUGUCUGUAUUCUGUAUCUAUCACCUAUAUCUAUCUUUUAUAUCUAUUUAGCAUGCAUCUAUCACAUAUCUAUCAUUGAUCAAAUGUUCUCUUGAGUGUUCCCAUCCAUCCCAACUGAAAAAAGAGGGAUGGAAUUUUAUAACUCCUCAAGAUUAAGAGAGUAAAGGUGGGGCAUUGAUGUGGCUCUGGAAAUUUGCUAGUAGUGACACCAAUGGACCUUUUCCGGGGAUGGGGAGGCAGGGGUGCUGGAACAUAGAGCAAGUUCACAAGGGGGCAGUUGAAAAACUCAUAUGAUCCAUCCUAUAUAGUUUCUCUUCCCUCCCUUUUUCCUUUCUCCUUUGCUUUUCCUUUUCUCUCUUCCCUGUUUUUCUUUUUCCUUUCUCUCAUCCUCCUCUCCCUCUCUGCUCCCCUGCCCCUGAGGAUGCUCAGAGGAACAGAUCAGACUCACUCACCAUCAUUCUGAACAAACACCUGCUCUUACGACUUAACGCACCGCCCCUCCUGCCUGCACAGACCAUUUCCAUUGCAGGGAGCUUUCACACCAGCUUUCAGCCCUGGGGGGGCAGGUAAAUCAGCAGUAGAGGCUCAGCAUGUCAGGGAAGAGCAGCAGAAGAGCAGAGAAAUGCUGAUCCUCAGUCAGAAGCCUCCUGCUCACGUCUGCCAAGGUUUACAGCCCAACCCACACAAGGAAAAGCAGAACCCUCGCUCAAGGCAGGACAGCAGGCUUCCUCCCAGCCCUGGGGAACACACACCUGUUGGCCAGGGCAAGAAUGGAUAGUACUGAGAGAAGAAUUAGGCUACAGCUUCUUGGGUGGUGGCCAGAGAAGAAAAUGAAUAUGCAGGAGGAAGGGGAGUGACCCAUAAUUACACGGAAUUAAUGGAAACAGCUUUCCAUCUUCUGCACUGCGGGAGGGGAGAGAGAGAGGCUCAUCCCCAACUGCCAAGUCGCUUGGCCUCUCUGAGCUUCUGUUCUCUGUCUGAAAAGUGCAGACAAUAAUAGCUGUGGCAAAGAAGGAGGACUAAAUAGAAGAACCCACGUGCAACACUUAAUGCAGUGCUUAUGAGGAAGGUAAAUUGAAUCUGGAUAUGUUCCUAGUGAUUUAAAAGACACACACACACACACACACACACACACAUGACUUCUAGUUGUGUUCUAGAUUCAGUUCAGAUCUACUCCAGACCCCUUUCUCAAAGGCUGGAGAAACAGGCAGCAAGGCUGCUCCAAGACAAUGAUCUGAGUCACCCUUGGCUGAACCCCAGGGUCCAGAAAAAGGCUCAGUUCUAUCCACAGUAGCCCAGGCGCUCAGGCCAAUGGACCCUCUGCCACACCAUCCGGAGCGUUGAAACAACGGGAGGGCUCCUGGCCAUUCUGAGUUGACUGAAGAAUCGACAUGAUGGAAGUAACGACGUGAUGGAUGUGCCUCAGGUCCUUCGUGAGAAAUGGGAAUCAUAACCCGUUUCCUAUAUCACAAGACUGAGGUGAGGACCAAGUGAGAUAAGACAAUUGAAAUCACUUUGCAAAUUGUUAUACAGCCAUUAGUCAUAGUAGUGGUAAAAGCGGUUUGGGAACCAGACAGCUGAAAGUCCUACAAAAGCCUAUGACCAUACCCAAGUCAUUUUCUCAUGAAUAUCUUGGACCUAAAACGUUGGGCUUGUUAAUCUAGGCAGCUUGCCUCCAGGAAACCAUUCUCAUGAGAGGGGGUGACUCAAGGAUUUCCUCUUACCCACCCCUAUUCUGCAAAUGGAUAUGGACAGCAAGGCCAGGCCAUCUUGCUGGCCUCCUGGAGGGAGCGUGCUGGGACAGGGAUGGGGAGAUGGCUACGCCUUUGUGAGAGUCAGGAGCCUCUGGUGGUGCCUUGUAUAUUUCACCUGAAGUGACAGGGACCUUGUUAGCCGUCCUUGCUUUGAGGAGCUUGAUGGAUUGAACUCUUGGGGAGAAUGUGGCGGCCGUGAUCUGCCAUAAAGAUGAUGAAUAACAUUUUUUUUCUUAAAUGAUUACCUAAAAUUUUAUAGCUAGCCAAAGCUGGCUUUCUCGGAGCCCCCGGAGGAGUGCCUUUAUGAAGUGUCAUUUAAUUAAUAAGGAGAAUAUUGAUUGCUGUCAUAUAUGGCGUAUUGCACAAGGGCUAGGUAAGAAAAAGUGGCUGAGGACCAUAACCACGGAGGUGGGCAAGGGUGGGGCUAGGCCUAGAUGAAAGCUUGGAUGAAAGCUAGGCCCCUCAGUCCUUUCUAGAAUUACAGUUAUGGCAGAGCAGUAACCGUUUGCCAGAGAUCUUCAGAAGUUAAUCUGGAUGUUUCCAUUGAUGGCCUGGUCUAGAAAAUUCACUUCCUCCUCUUGAAAUCUUUCUUGGAUUAAAACACACACAUUAGGAGUUCUCAUUAUGCUGCGGUGGAAACGAAUCUGACUAGUUUCCAUGAGGAUGUGGGUUUGAUCUCUGGCCUUACUCAGUGGCUUAAGGAUCCAACACUGCCGUGAGCUGUGGUGUAGAUAGCUGUGGUGCAGGUAGCCGAUCUGGCGUUGCUGUGGCUGUGAUGUAGGCUGGCAGCUGUAGCUCCGAUUUGACCCCUGGCCUGGGAACUUCCAUAUACUGCAGGUGUGGCUCUAAAAAAUAAAGCAAAAACAACAACAACAUACUUAAGGGACAAGACUCUUCUGUUAUCUCAUGAUGCAGUCUUUUUUAUGUUGUUUUAAUUUCAUGGUUGUAUCCAUGGCAUAUGGAAGUUCCUGGGCCAGGAUAAAAUCUGGGCCACAGCUGUGACCUAUGCCAAAGCUAUGGCUAUGCUGGAUCCUUUAACCCACUGCAUGGGCUGGGGAUCAAAGCCACACCUCCACAGAGACCCAAGCCACUGCAAUAGGAUUCUUAACCUAAUGCGCCACAGCAGGAACUCCCCAUGGUGCAGUCUUAACGGAGUUGCUUAACCUCUUGGGUUAACUGAGAUAAUAGAAUUGAGCUAAGAGAUCUUUAGGAUUCCAACUCACAUAUUCCAUUUUAUUCUGAAUUGCUCAGAAAGGAAUGGUAUAAGGCAAACAAAUCCCCAUUUGUACAUAGUUAUUUUCUGGCUGAGUCUCCCAGAGGGAGAACACAGAUAAAUAUUGGUGUGAGUUCAACCGUACCAAUUAUAGAGAAAAGAAAAAUAGAGUUCAACUCAGAAGAAGCCUAAGGAGGAAGCGCUAAUAUGGGCAAACCCUAGGGAAGAGGGAGUUUGAGGGACCAUUAUUUCCUUGAGCUAAUCUUUUAUGAGAAUCUACCCUGCAGCUCCCAGUGGGAGAGCUACAGUUUCCCAGAUGCUAGUGGCCUUAGCCACACCUUGACCAAAGGCUCUAAGGUUAUGCCAGAGAGCUGUCCUCUUGGCCUUGACCAGAGAGACCUUCUACGGCAUGACUUCAGAGGCCUCACAUUGUAAGCAGCCCCUUCAAGUUGUUGGAAGAACUUGGUUUACAGGAAAUGAGAUUGGGUUUGAAUCUUGACUUUCAACUUACUCAGCCUUGGGCAAGUUACUUAGCUAUGAAUUUAGGAAUAAUACUGUUGCUUAUCUGCACGGACUGUAGUAAAGAUUAAGGAGUUCCUGCUGUGGCACAGUGGGUUAAGCAUCUGAUUAUAGUGGCUUGGGUUCCUAUGGUGCAGUGGGUUAAAGGAUUUGGCAUUACCACAGCUGUGGUGUAGCUCACAAGCUUUGGUUCAGAUACAAUCACUGGCCUGGGAAUUUCUAUAUGCUGCAGCAGCAGCCAUUUAAAAAAAAAAAAAAAA